rnacentral:rRNA from 1 species
CGUUGAUAGGCUUUAAGUGUAAGGCGAGUAAUCGCUUGAGCUGAGAAGUACUAAU